rnacentral:piRNA from 1 species
UAGAGCAGGAAGCAGUUGGUGGUCUC